rnacentral:rRNA from 1 species
GCUCAACCGAGGAAGUGCUUCGAAAACUGGUAAACUUGAGUGCAGAAGAGGAAAGUGGAACUCCAUGUGUAGCGGUGGAAUGCGUAGAUAUAUGGAAGAACACCAGUGGCGAAGGCGGCUUUCUGGUCUGUAACUGACGCUGAGAUUCGAAAGCAUGGGUAGCAAACAGGAUUAGAUACCCUGGUAGUCCAUGCCGUAAACGAUGAGUGCUAAGUGUUGGAGGGUUUCCGCCCUUCAGUGCUGCAGCUAACGCAUUAAGCACUCCGCCUGGGGAGUACGACCGCAAGGUUGAAACUCAAAGGAAUUGACGGGGGCCCGCACAAGCGGUGGAGCAUGUGGUUUAAUUUUUUGCAACGCGAAGAACCUUACCAGGUCUUGACAUACCAUGAAAAGCUUAGAGAUAAGUCUUUCCCUUCGGGGACAUGGAUACAGGUGGUGCAUGGUUGUCGUCAGCUCGUGUCGUGAGAUGUUGGGUUAAGUCCCGCAACGAGCGCAACCCUUAUUACCAGUUGCCAGCAUUCAGUUGGGCACUCUGGUGAGACUGCCGGUGACAAACCGGAGGAAGGUGGGGACGACGUCAAAUCAUCAUGCCCCUUAUGACCUGCGCUACACACGUGCUACAAUGGUCGGUACAACG